rnacentral:tRNA from 1 species
AGGUAUUUAAUCUAACUCAAGAUACUUGAUUUCGACUCAAACAAUUAUGGACAAACCCAUGAAUACCUC